AUGUGAUGACAGAGUUUCCGACGCCGUUGGCGUGACGAAAACGAUGCGUGCCGAGACAUCCGUGAACUCAUCUUUGCUCCGACCUGAUGUAUA
rnacentral:snoRNA from 1 species